rnacentral:rRNA from 1 species
GACGAACGCUGGCGGUGUGCUUAACACAUGCAAGUCGAACGGUAAGGCCCUUCGGGGUACACGAGUGGCGAACGGGUGAGUAACACGUGGGUGAUCUGCCCUGCACUUCGGGAUAAGCCUGGGAAACUGGGUCUAAUACCGGAUAGGACUCCGGACUGCAUGGUCUGGGGUGGAAAGCUUUUGCGGGGUGGGAUGGGCCCGCGGCCUAUGAGCUUGUUGGUGGGGUGAUGGCCUACCAAGGCGACGACGGGUAGCCGGCCUGAGAGGGUGACCGGCCACACUGGGACUGAGAUACGGCCCAGACUCCUACGGGAGGCAGCAGUGGGGAAUAUUGCACAAUGGGCGCAAGCCUGAUGCAGCGACGCCGCGUGAGGGAUGACGGCCUUCGGGUUGUAAACCUCUAUCAGCAUCGACGAAGCGAAAGUGACGGUAGGUGCAGAAGAAGGACCGGCCAACUACGUGCCAGCCGCCGCCGUAA